UAUUCUGCCCUACGGGAAAGGAUGAGAAGCUUCGACUAAGGUUCGACUCGAGCGUAGCGAGAGAACGUUGCCGAAGGCAACGGCCCGAAGGGCGAGGCGCUUUAGCGCCGAGUCAUCCUUCCCCCACCGCUG
rnacentral:sRNA from 1 species